UUCCCAGGCCAACAUACAAUACAAUUUAAAAGAAAAGAUAUUCCCAAUUUUCAGCCCAAUUUCCAUUCCAAAAAGGAACCGAAAGAACCCCAUCAGUUCAACAAACGUGACCCGACCCCUGCACCUUCAUCUUCUUCUCCGCGUGAACUACAGACAUGAAACAAGCAAAAUCACGUCCAACUCCAGACGCAAACCAGAGCGUGAGUACAGUAACCUAGAGCAUCGUUCCCUCCCUCUCUCCUUAUCUGUUUGCACGGAAACCAGGUGUUGAGAUCUCCCAUUGCCUUUGUCCUUUCUUCAGAAAGCAAAUGACUACUAUUAUCAAUCCGUUGAAGAGGUGUACAAUUUUUUGAGCUGGCAACCUUAUCCCGUUGAAGAGAAUUCGAAUUUGAAAUUCAAAAUUCAAUCGGUUUCCCCCUCUUUCUGCCCUAAUUCUCCCCUUAUAAAUAUCGGUUCAUUCUUUAUUGCUGGGAGUUGGAGAAAAAAGCAGAGGAAAUUUGGGAACUAGUAGAGGGAAAAGGGUUGGAGAUAGUUACAGUGAGUUGGGGGAAAAAAGUAUGGAAGUUUUUUUGAAUAGUCACAUUUAUAUUCAAGAACUUUUAUAUGUUUUCUUUAAUCCUAAGUUGUGAGAGAACCUUUGUUCCAGUCUUGUUUGCAUUUCGUGGUGAGCUACUCGAGAUUCGAACUUGUGUGGUGGAAGAGCUUGUCCGUACUCGUUUGGUCUCAUUUCGCUGGCUUGAGAAAGGGUACAGAUGAUAUCACAAACGAUGAUGGUAUACCGGAACUAUUGAACUGGUGGAGGAAUCGUGGAGAUCAAUUUCCAAAACUUAGUAGGAUGGUGAAGGAUGUGCUUGCAAUUCAAAGAUCAUCAGUAGCUUCAAAGGCAACUUUCAGCGCGGGCAAGAUUUCAAAUUGGAGACCACAGAUAUUCGUUAGCAGAAGACAACUUGGAGAUAUCAGUGUUAUUUAGAGACUGGAUAAAUGCUGAGCGUAGAAAUCAAGGACUUCCAAAGUUAGAUAGUCAAUUUGAACUUUUCAUAGAUUCAACUAUUGAAUGUGGUAGUGAUGAUGGCAUCAAAAUUCAAGAUCGUCAACGAGCUUUACCAAGACCAGAAGUUGAUCACAAUCAAUCCAUAUUUGAGUUAGAAAGAGGAUUUACAGGACUAUACAACUAUUAGUAUUGCAUUCGAGAUAUAGUUGAAACAGAACCCUUCCUAGAAGGUGGCUGCGUAAGCUAUGUACUCUACUAAUAGUUGUAAAUUGAAAUUGUAAUUUGUUACAAAUUUAAAUAAAUUAAAUUGAUAUUUUUUAAUUUUUGUAA